UUGCACGCUGGCGGCAGGCUUAACACAUGCCCGUCGCGCGGUAGCACAAGAGAGCUUGCUCUCUGGGUGACGAGCGGCGGACGGGUGAGUAAUGUCUGGGAAACUGCCUGAUGGAGGGGGAUAACUACUGGAAACGGUAGCUAAUACCGCAUAACGUCGCAAGACCAAAGAGGGGGACCUUCGGGCCUCUUGCCAUCAGAUGUGCCCAGAUGGGAUUAGCUAGUAGGUGGGGUAAUGGCUCACCUAGGCGACGAUCCCUAGCUGGUCUGAGAGGAUGACCAGCCACACUGGAACUGAGACACGGUCCAGACUCCUACGGGAGGCAGCAGUGGGGAAUAUUGCACAAUGGGCGCAAGCCUGAUGCAGCCAUGCCGCGUGUGUGAAGAAGGCCUUCGGGUUGUAAAGCACUUUCAGCGAGGAGGAAGGUGGUGAGCUUAAUACGCUCAUCAAUUGACGUUACUCGCAGAAGAAGCACCGGCUAACUCCGUG
rnacentral:rRNA from 1 species